AAACAGAUUCCAGAGAUGAGAGACAGGAAUCAGAUGUUAUCCUCAAAGCAUGACCCAUAACAAACCUGCCGUUGGACAGAAGAUAGAGAUCAAGAAGAUUAGCUGAGAGGUGAGAUAUAGAAGAUUCAGAUAUAUGGGUCAGGCGGGUUUUGUGGUGUGAACCCUAGAUUUAUCAGAGACGCUCAUAAAAGCCCUAGAUUUAUCCAAAUUUCUCAAACCAAAACCUUGAAUUCCAUGCUUGAAACUCGUGAAACAAACUGAAUUAAAGCUCCUUAACGAUUCUGAAGCUUCAAAAAUGGCGAGAUUUUGAGGAGAAAUGGAAGGGAAAAGGAGAGAGGAACUCAUCUGCAUAAAACCAACAUCGCAGAGCGAGAA
rnacentral:lncRNA from 1 species